UAAUACGUAGGGUGCGAGCGUUGUCCGGAAUUACUGGGCGUAAAGAGUUCGUAGGCGGUUUGUCGCGUCGUUCGUGAAAACUUGGGGCUUAACUCCAAGCGUGCGGGCGAUACGGGCAGACUUGAGUACUACAGGGGAGACUGGAAUUCCUGGUGUAGCGGUGAAAUGCGCAGAUAUCAGGAGGAACACCGGUGGCGAAGGCGGGUCUCUGGGUAGUAACUGACGCUGAGGAACGAAAGCGUGGGUAGCGAACAGGAUUAGAUACCCUGGUAGUCCACGCCGUAAACGGUGGGUACUAGGUGUGGGUUCCUUUUCACGGGAUCCGUGCCGUAGCUAACGCAUUAAGUACCCCGCCUGGGGAGUACGGCCGCAAGGCUA
rnacentral:rRNA from 1 species